AAGACCCACUACUCAUGGGUCCUGGUUAAAAUCCAUUUCACUUGGGUCUUGCGUCAGGAUCCAAGUCUUUUGGGUCCUUUGUCAGGACCCAAGGUUCUUGGGUCUU
rfam:Populus trichocarpa scaffold_3_contig_54, whole genome shotgun sequence.